CGGGGCUACUGCUCUGUAAUUGGCAUGGGGGCGACCUUCACCCUCGCCCGAGUACCCAUUGGAGGGCAGGUCUGGUGCCAGCAGCCGCGGUAAUUCCAGCUCCAAUAGCGUAUAUUAAACUUGUUGCAGUUAAAAAGCUCGUAGUUGAAUCUCACGUCCCCCGCGUGGUCCUUCCUCGCCGGGACGCCUCGUUACUUUGAGAAAAUUAGAGUGUUUCAAGCAGGUUUCGCCUGUAUAAUUGAGCAUGGAAUAACCUUGUAUGACCCUGUCGUACCGUUGGUUGACUUUGGGUAAUGGUUAAUAGGAACGGUUGGGGGCAUUCGUACUCGACUGUCAGAGGUGAAAUUCUUAGAUUUGUUAAAGACGAACCACUGCGAAAGCAUUUGCCAAGGACGUUUUCAUUAAUCAAGAAC
rnacentral:rRNA from 1 species